ACGCUCGACACCUACGGAAGGCAGCAGUGGGGAAUAUUGCACAAUGGGGGAAACCCUGAUGCAGCGACGCCGCGUGAGGGAAGAAGGUUUUCGGAUUGUAAACCUCUGUCCUCGGUGAAGAAGGAAGACGGUAGCCAAGGAGGAAGCCACGGCUAACUACGUGCCAGCAGCUGCGGUAAUCUGAGCGGGCUGGCAAGGC
rnacentral:rRNA from 1 species